GACGAACGCUGGCGGCGUGCUUAACACAUGCAAGUCGAACGGAAAGGCCCUGCUUUUGUGGGGUGCUCGAGUGGCGAACGGGUGAGUAACACGUGAGUAACCUGCCCUUGACUUUGGGAUAACUUCAGGAAACUGGGGCUAAUACCGGAUAGGAGCUCCUGCUGCAUGGUGGGGGUUGGAAAGUUUCGGCGGUUGGGGAUGGACUCGCGGCUUAUCAGCUUGUUGGUGGGGUAGUGGCUUACCAAGGCUUUGACGGGUAGCCGGCCUGGGAGGGUGACCGGCCACAUUGGGACUGAGAUACGGCCCAGACUCCUACGGGAGGCAGCAGUGGGGAAUAUUGCACAAUGGGCGGAAGCCUGAUGCAGCAGCGCCGCGUGCGGGAUGACGGCCUUCGGGUUGUGAACCGCUUUCGCCUGUGACGAAGCGUGAGUGACGGUAAUGGGUAAAGAAGCACCGGCUAACUACGUG
rnacentral:rRNA from 1 species